CUUCUUCUGUGUUGCGGCUGCAUCAAACCAGAACACGUUGCUUCUCGUCCCAUCACUUCCACUGUUUAUGCAGAAUGCCCUGGCGCUUCUUUUCCCGCUUUGGCUGAGCAAAUUUUCAACACUUCUUAAGCCGAGGACGGGAGGUGAAGCAAUGCAUCAGCUGCCCUCUCCUCGCUUCCCACCCUGCGUUCUCAGCUGACCUGAGAUGGCCACCUCCCCCCUCCAAAAAAAAAGAGAAGAACUCUUCUGCUUCCUGUGCCCACGAGGGUUGAAGACAGUCACCCAACAUUCCGCAUGACUGCAAGUAUAAAUCUGACGGAAGUAAUUACCCAUCAUCCUCCAGGGGCCCGGAGCGCGCUUCCCGCCUCCUCUUCAGCCUCGACGUAGUUCAACCUUUUUCCACUCAGAUGGGAGGAGAGUUGUGGUGCAUGAGCGGGCAAAGUCGUACUUGGAGUUAAUUGCCUCGGGCAGGUGAGGACAUCAGUUCCAGAGUGUGCCCAGACAGAUGGCUCUCUGGAGGAAGGUUCAAUCAACUAAUUGUGAAGUUCUGAUAGGACUGUGGGGAGGUGUUGACCGAGAGCCGGGGCUCAGGGACAUGAGACGGCCUGAGGACCAAAUUAAAGUAACAUUUGUUUUACACGCUUGCUUCCAAAAUUUCCCAUCUCCCGUUUCACCCUCUCAGAUAUUUCUGCAACUCUAAACAUCCCUGUGUUUGUGUAUGCGGACUUUUUUGGGAUUCAGAGAUCAGGAAUACCGCUUCCAGCUAUGCAUAAUCACACGGACGUACGGAGCAAGGCCGCGCUCAAGCAUUUGUCCUUGCUGCUGCCUCGAGCUGUGGCCUUAAUUGCCAUGGGAGUUGAAGGAGGUGUAAAUAAAGUUGUUGACUGGGAUAAAAAUUCCUUUGCAAAAAAAAAUAAAAAAUAAAAAUGAUUCACAUACUCAAAGGGUUUAUGGACAGAAAGCAAAUGCAAAACGGGUUGUUCUAAAGGGCCCAGUCAAAACAAUAGA